GACGAACGCUGGCGGCGUGCUUAACACAUGCAAGUCGAACGGAAAGGCCCUGCUAUUGUGGGGUGCUCGAGUGGCGAACGGGUGAGUAACACGUGAGUAACCUGCCCUUGACUUUGGGAUAACUUCAGGAAACUGGGGCUAAUACCGGAUAGGAGCUCCUGCUGCAUGGUGGGGGUUGGAAAGUUUCGGCGGGUGGGGAUGGACUCGCGGCUUAUCAGCUUGUUGGUGGGGUAGUGGCUUACCAAGGCUUUGGCGGGUAGCCGGCCUGAGAGGGUGACCGGCCACAUUGGGACUGAGAUACGGCCCAGACUCCUACGGGAGGCAGCAGUGGGGAAUAUUGCACAAUGGGCGGAAGCCUGAUGCAGCAACGCCGCGUGCGGGAUGACGGCCUUCGGGUUGUAAACCGCUUUCGCCUGUGACGAGGCGUGAGUGACGGUAAUGGGUAAAGAAGCACCGGCUAACUACGUG
rnacentral:rRNA from 1 species